rnacentral:rRNA from 1 species
GAAACUCGCCUGCACGAAGUUGGAGUUGCUAGUAAUCGCAGAUCAGAAUGCUGCGGUGAAUGCGUUCCCGGGUCUUGUACACACCGCCCGUCACACCAUGGAAGUUGGGGGUGCCCAAAGUCGGUUAGAAAAUAAACUGCCUAAGGCAAAACCAAUGACUGGGGUGAAGUCGUAACAAGGUAUC